rnacentral:rRNA from 1 species
CCUGCCCCUGUGAGUUACGACUUCAACGGCCGCGGUAUCCUGACCGUGCAAAGGUAGCAUAAUCCAUCGCCUUUUAAUUGAAGGCUAGUAUGAAUGGAUAAACGAGGGAUCUAUUGUCUCACUAGCAAAAAUAAAAAUUAGUCUCCAUGUGAAGAAACCUGGAUCGCACUAAAAGACAAGAAGACCCUGUUGAGUUUAACUUAACCUAUACCAGCCUUCUUAUUACUAAUAAAAAUUCUGUGUAAUAAAUAAGUUUGAUUGGGGCAAUCGAUGACUACCCCCACCGUCAUCUAAGAAGAAGAAUCACAUCAUGCAAGUUAUCCAUACAAAUGAAAGAGAAAUAAUCCUACUACCACAGGGAUAACAGACCAAUCCCCUCAAAGAGUCCUAAUCGUAGAGGGGGAGUGGCACCUCGAUGUUGGCUUAGGGAAGCCGUCAGAUGCAGCAGUUUGACAGGCUGGUUUGUUCAACCAUUAAACCCCUACGUGAUCUGAGUCAGACCGGA